CCGGAUACUACGAUGGACGGUACUGGACAAUGUGGAAGCUUCCAUUGUUCGGAUGCACCGAUUCUGCUCAAGUGUUGAAGGAAGUGCAAGAAUGCAAGAAGGAGUACCCUAAUGCCUUCAUUAGGAUCAUCGGAUUCGACAACAACCGUCAAGUCCAAUGCAUCAGUUUCAUUGCCUACAAGCCCCCAAGCUUCACCGAUGCUUAAUUCCCUUUCUGGAAUGUUCAACGUUGACUAGUAUUUCGGAAUCCAAUUCUAUGUGGUCAAUGCAAAUUUAAGAAAUUAAUUAGCCGACUUAAAAGUUGAGGAAUUAUUGUGUGAAAGUGAAAAAUUUGAAGGUUUUUUCUAUCAAUUUCCUUAUAAUUAUAUUUACUCAUUUGAUUUCAUUUUUUUUCUUCUAGCUCUUUGAGCUCUAUUUUUCGUUUAGCUCCUUUUGACAACAUUCCGGUUCAUUUAAAUUCUCCUCAUUAUUCUUGCUUUUGAGAAAUUGGCUACAUUGUUUCGAGAAAUUUUGCACAUGAAAGCAUAACAAAGAUGCCUCAAUUUAUCAAACCUCGAUGAUUUAGAACAAAAGAUUAUUUAAGGGGGUGUAACCUUUUAAGAUGAAAUAGCCAUUGGAGAUAGCAAAAGGUAGUAAAAGACGUAUACACUAUAAACAAAAUCCAAAUGUAUGCUUUUAAAAUUAUAAACAUGUAUUCCAAACGCCUAAGUGGAAUAUUCAGUUUAAUUCAAGUCCAAGAAAUGGCAUUAUAUAAAGCAAGGAUCGACAAAGACUGAAAUUUGUCUAGCAUGAAGUUACUAAAUUUUGGAAAUUGUGUUCACGUUAAAAGCUGAAACUUAACAGUUAUUUAUAAGGAAAAGCAGUUAAUGUUCCCAAAAAGUUCUAAAUGAAACUAGAAACCAAAUGAUAAAGAAAACGUAGCAUCUACAUGUUUGGUUUUAGUUUUUUUUUUUUUGACAAAAAUAUUCAAAUGUUUUUAGAUUCUUCUAUGCAAACGAUAUAUAGAAAAUAUAUACAUGAUUCAAAUAUAAUACAAAUAAAAAUAAUUAUUGAAAUUACCGAACAUUUUUUUGCAUCUCCCUGAUUUACUUCCCACAUUUUCGUUUCAAAUAAAAUUCAAGAAAAAGAAAGACGACGAAAAAAAAUGACUUAAAAAGACAAGGGACAGAAGCUGGUAACUUAGAUGGAUGGGUUAGGACUAUCUCACUUUCGAAAAAUGUUUAUUUGGUUGAGGUGCGGAGUGGAGUGGAGCUUGUGAUUCUUUGCCCUAUAUGAGAGUUUUUUCGUGACCAAUUAUGGUGAUUGUGUACUUUGUAUACAUGUUUCUUCUCAUAUGGUUGAAAUGGGGGCAUUUGUGAGCUUUAAGGUGGCAGUCUUGAUCCACGACCAUAGCUUUACAUGACUUUAAGGUGAGUUCUUGCCUUGGUUCUACACCGUUGAUUGAAAUGAAUUAUGAAAAUUCCUCAUGAUCCGCCAUUUUUACAUGCUAAGUUUUUUUUUUUUGAAAAAUGCAUGCUUAAGUUGAAACGGUGGUUAUCAACUUGAGGUGCCAUAUUUGUGAUUAAGUGGGCCGUAAGUGCAACGGCGUGGUACUCAAAGAGGAACGGUGGGGUGGGUUUCACAUCGUGAUUGUGAUGUGAGUAUGUAUGUGACCAGAGUCCAGGGCCGGCUCAAAAUUAUUCGAGACCUUGUGCUGAUGUAUAAAAAUUGGUUUUUAAAUAAUAUAGUGAAAAUUUUGGACCCUCAAUCUUAGAGGAAAUUGAAAUUUUUUUUUGAGGACCCUGUGCUUUUGCUCCUCUAGCACACCCUUAGAGCUGGCACUGCCAGAGUCACAAGAUAAUCGUGAGCUGGUCUUACUUGUUGAUCGAGAGGCAGCAUUAACUCAUAUAGAAGAAACCAUGGACCUCCGACCUUGGGAGGUUUUCUUGGAAAUUCUUCCAUGAUGGAAGCUUACCGCAUGAGCAUGAUACAGGUAGAUGCAUGAUGGUUUCGGUUGUUUGCUCGAUCGCUUUCUACCACAAACAUAUCUUGCAUCUAAUUGUUGUUGCCUUGUUGGUUCUCAAAUAUUUACUCUCGAAACAGUAAGAUGUUGUUAGCCAUACGUAAAUCAGAAAUAAAAGUAUAGUUGGCUAAAACUGCAGUGAGUAUAGAAUUAACCGAUAUCAAUUUAUUCAAAUUUCCGUCUCUCUUUUCUUUUGUUGGCUAAUAUAUUAUCAUUUGAAGAUAAUAUAUAGUUUUUCCAAGAAAAGAAUAUUGACAAUUUUUUUGUGGUAAGUGAUUUUAAGAAUGACUCCAGAAUCGACAGGUUACCCAGACAAUAUUUAUCAUGGAUAAACCUAUCGAAAAAUCUUAAAAAUCAGUAUUAAUAAAACGGAAGUAGUAAUGAACUUCUAAGCUAUGCAUUACAAUACAUUUAUCUCAAUGUCGAAUUUAAAUAAUUUUCUUAGAACUCCUUUUUUAAUGCGACCUUAUUCACCAAAUCAAGUGAAGCCAAAUUAAAUCAUGCAUGGUAAAUAAAAUAUCCAAAAGCAUUAAAUUUAAGGUAAUGCGUCUGAUUUCUUUCCUCCCAAACGAAAGGAGCCAAAAGCAACCGAUCAAGUGGAAACCAAUAACCACACAUUCACUUCGUUUCCCCCACAAGAGAAGAUAAGAUAAUGGAGUUUUCUGCCACGUGGCAUUAUCCUAGUGGUCCGUACCGAUAAGGGUGUCAACACCUUUCCUUAAUCCUGUGGCAGUAAACGACGUUAUCAUGAAUUAUGGACCCUUUGAUCAUGAGGGGCUUUUUUCCUGUUGCGGUUCUCACUAUAUAAAGAUGACAAAACCAGUAGACAAACAAGUAAGUAAGAGAAAAGAGCAAAAGAAGAAGAGAAACAACAAGAAGUAGUAAUGGCUUCCUCUAUGCUCUCCUCGGCCGCUGUGGUUACCUCCCCGGCUCAAGCCACCAUGGUCGCUCCAUUCUCCGGCUUGAAGUCAUCCGCUGCUUUCCCGGUCACCCGCAAGGCCAACAACGACAUUACUUCCAUCGCAAGCAACGGGGGAAGAGUUAGCUGCAUGAAGGUAAAGUAAAGUCAUUAAUGAAAGAUGUCUUUUGUCAUGGCAAUUAGUGUAAUUGAACAAAACAUAGAAUAAUUGGAAUUGGAUUCGGGAAUUAUAGGUAUGGCCACCAAUCGGAAAGAAGAAGUUUGAGACUUUAUCUUACCUCCCUGACCUUACUGACGUCGAAUUGGCUAAGGAAGUUGACUACCUUCUCCGCAACAAGUGGAUUCCUUGUGUUGAAUUCGAGUUAGAGGUAAUAAACACUGAACCUUUCCUUUGUCUCUAAUCAUUAUAUAUUAUUUUCUUACAUAGCUAAAAACCAAAGUCAAUAAGCUUAUUUUCUACACCAAAGUUGAGGCUAUCAUUGUCCAUCGAAUGGUUUUCUUAUGUGUUUAUAGCACGGAUUUGUGUACCGUGAACACGGAAACACUCCCGGAUACUACGAUGGACGGUACUGGACAAUGUGGAAGCUUCCAUUGUUCGGAUGCACCGACUCCGCUCAAGUGUUGAAGGAAGUGCAAGAAUGCAAGAAGGAGUACCCUAAUGCCUUCAUUAGGAUCAUCGGAUUCGACAACAACCGUCAAGUCCAAUGCAUCAGUUUCAUCGC
rnacentral:lncRNA from 1 species